rnacentral:tRNA from 1 species
GACUCAGUGGUUCAAUGGCAAAGUGCUCGUCAUAGAGCCAAAGGGUCCCGGGUUCGAUUCCUGACAGGGUCG